rnacentral:rRNA from 1 species
UACGAAGGGUGCAAGCGUUACUCGGAAUUACUGGGCGUAAAGCGUGCGUAGGUGGUUUGUUAAGUCAGGGGUGAAAGUUUUCGGCCCAACCGGAAAAUUGCCUUUGAUACUGGCGAGCUCGAGUGCGUGAGGGGUAACCGGAACGAGCAGUGUAGCGGUGAAAUGCGUAGAUAUUGCUCGGAAGGCCAACGGCGAAGGCAGGUUACUGGUACGCAACUGACGCUGAGGCACGAAAGCGUGGGGAGCAAACGGG